UCCGUCAAGAUGAGAGAAUUCGUUGCACCGUUUUGUGUGUGUGUCGUCGUGAUACCCAUCGGCCGAACCCAGUCCGGAUGUCGGUCCCGGAUGUUCAUCCAUAAAAUCCAAUCAACCUUCCUCCCCCGUUCUUAACAAUCAACGAUAAGAAUUGAGUUUAUCAGAUUUUCAUUGAUCUGUCCACCUAUCGCGUAACUUCGGGAAACAAGUUAAACAGUUGUUCUUAUCGAUAAAAGGGGAAUCGAAUAAGAAGAAGAAGAUAAUUAGGAUCAAGAUAAAGGUUUAAUUCGGGAAGGCCAUACAAAUAUAUGCAUCAUCUUGUUGCACACGGCAACAAGACCUUUCUCAGCGAUCUAGACUGUCCUGGUUCUAUUUUGGUGCCCGGCUGACACAGGGUAAACACUCGCAGACUAACGAACCUAUUGCAAUAUGGCGCGGUCAAGGUUUACCCAUGCAUUCCAAAAGAAUUUUUACAAUUUUCCUGUUUUUUUUUUCAAAUUAUCGUGACAAAGAUUAUUGUUCGAACCCAUUGCAAUGAAUUGGAUUCGUCGACGGUUCAAUGUGUAUGAAAAUGUAAAAAUGAUAAUCAAAAGUUUCUUUUGCCUCGUAAAACAUUCGAUUAGAAUUGAUAAAAACAUUUUACUUUCGAGAAUCUUUCUCAAUAGGACCGAAUAAGAAGAGAUAGGCCAGUGGUAUAUAUCAAAUGAAUGAACACGUAGAAGGAGGAGAGAGAAGGGAAUAAAUAAAUCCAAGAAACUUUUCACGGACGUUAAGUUCCAUAAAUAACGUCGAAAGAUUUCUUCUGGAAUUUUUCGAGUAACUAACACACACACGGAUACGAGAAUUCUUCGAUAUGUGAAAAAUAUAUUUCCUUUUAUCUCUGACAUCACAAACACAAAAAGAAAGAAAUGGGGGGAUAGAUAAGGGAAAAGAGAGUUGCGAUCUUUCUGAAAUUACUAUUGCAUUUUGAUGAAAAGUCCCCUCCCUUUCUCUCCCGCCAAGUAAUCUUUUUCCCAACAUUUCAACGUGAAACACCGUGAAAAGUAUUUGGAAGAAAUCGAAAGUAAUGGAUAAAACUUCUAUAAAAUGCGCGGGAGAAAUAUAUGUAUAUUUUUUUUGGACGAAUUUACGA